AGCCAGCGGUUGCCGGUUGUGACCGUCGUCGUUGGAAGGCGACGCGAAGCGGCAGUGCAGUGCUCGUCUUCGUCGGCGCGUCGCCGUCCGGAGGGCGGAGGCCAAAGCUUGUACUUGUCUUCGGCGGAGGGGAUUCUGAAAUCGAGGUGCGCAACUAGGAGAGCCAGUUGCCACGGUUGCGCUUUUGCUCAUCAUCGGAGGCGGUUGAAGUGUCGAUGUUUCUGUGCCUUCCUGGGGGUAUUCUGGAG
rnacentral:lncRNA from 7 species